rnacentral:lncRNA from 1 species
CAAGGAUGCCUUUACAUCGGGCUCCGAAUUUGAUUUAAUCAACUCCAAUUUUAUUGGUUUGUGUCAGAGUCGGUUCCUCUAUCUAUCAAGCUUUAUCAAGAUUGCUCUUAACGAUAUUAGUUCCUUCAUCAAGAUUUUUUUUUUCUAAAAAGAAUACCUUAAGAUUCAUGAACAUCUCAUAUCCAUCUGAAAGGUAGAAAGAAUAUCUCUAAAAUAAUAUUUAUCAGGCCAAGAUCCAAGCUAGUCAGUUUGUGAAUAUUUCACACAAAUUUGACAUCCCAAACUCUAAGAUAAAGGAGUAUCGAAUUACCCAAGUCCUCAUAUAAAAUUUUGAUGAUCGAUUUGCUCGAAAUGUUCUCGAGUACAUAUCUAGUAGUCUUUAAAAUAUGACCUCAGGCAGACUAGCAAACCCCAUAGUGGACCGAAUCAUAUCUAAUAAGAUUUAAUUCUUCUUUUCAGACAUCUUUUUAAAUAGUGAUGUCUCA